CAGGCCAGAAGAGGCGCGUUGCCCAAGUAACGGUGUUGGAGGAGCCAGUCCUGUGAUAACACCUGAGGGGGUGCAUCGCCGAGGUGAUUCAGACCAAAGUGGCGCGCCGUCGACCAGCUGGCGACGCGAUAUGCCACAUGCAGCGGCACAUUGUGUUGUUCGAUCAGGCGGCGAAUUAAGGCAUCGAUGUGUCCGUCUGGAGCUUCUAGGGGG
rnacentral:ncRNA from 2 species